CAAGGAUGCUGAGCUGCAAAGAGUGACUGUCAGCAUAGUACCCAGAACAGCACUGACAGGGUAGAAACUUAAUACCACAGGAAAUCCAUGCACUCUGUUGUGGCAUUUUUAUGAAGAAACCAACUUAAGCCUGGAACUACAUUUUAGGAAAUAAGUACUUAAGUGACUUUCUUCAGAUGAGACUGCCGUCCCCCAGAGCAAUCAGGACUACACGCGACUCAUACAAAACUUGAGCCUUUGCUUGUGGCUGUUUCCUGCAAACUGGUUUCAGAGCAAAUUCACUCU
rnacentral:lncRNA from 1 species